UUCCGUAGGUGAACCUGCGGAGGGAUCAUUACCGAGUUUACAACUCCCAAACCCCUGUGAACAUACCAAUUGUUGCCUCGGCGGAUCAGCCCGCUCCCGGUAAAACGGGACGGCCCGCCAGAGGACCCCUAAACUCUGUUUCUAUAUGUAACUUCUGAGUAAAACCAUAAAUAAAUCAAAACUUUCAACAACGGAUCUCUUGGUUCUGGCAUCGAUGAAGAACGCAGCAAAAUGCGAUAAGUAAUGUGAAUUGCAGAAUUCAGUGAAUCAUCGAAUCUUUGAACGCACAUUGCGCCCGCCAGUAUUCUGGCGGGCAUGCCUGUUCGAGCGUCAUUUCAACCCUCAAGCCCCCGGGUUUGGUGUUGGGGAUCGGCGAGCCCUUGCGGCAAGCCGGCCCCGAAAUCUAGUGGCGGUCUCGCUGCAGCUUCCAUUGCGUAGUAGUAAAACCCUCGCAACUGGUACGCGGCGCGGCCAAGCCGUUAAACCCCCAACUUCUGAAUGUUGACCUCGGAUCAGGUAGGAAUACCCGCUGAACUUAAGCAUAUCAAUAAGCGGAGG
rnacentral:rRNA from 1 species